rnacentral:lncRNA from 1 species
GUUGGGCCAAGGAUGGAAAAGUGGGGCCUGUAAUAGACUUUGGAAGGACACAAGUGCUGACUACAAAUAUCCACGUAAGCUGUAACCCUACUGCCGAUGCCUGGCGGCUGCAGGCUCAAAGGCCAAUGUGGAACUGAGCAGCCUAGGAAGUAGGAAAAGUAGGAGAUCAGAGACUCAAGAAUUGAAAGGAGCCCCAGAGACGUAAAAUUCAAACUUCUCAUCUCAGAGGAGCCCAGGCUAGCAAGGGAAGGAACACCUUAGAAAAACAAAGGGAGACAGAUGGGGUGCAGAGAGAAUAUGAAUGGAGGAAAAAGGAAAAGGAAAAAAGAGAAAUAGAGAAAGUAGGAGGGAAAGAGCCACGUUGCUGGACCACCUCAGAAUUGCUUCAAUGGGACUUUGCUUCUGAAAGAUUUGUAUCCUCUGGGGAUGUCUUGGUUUUGCAUUGGUAGAUGCUGAAAUAUGGUUUUAAGUUUGGCUUCACCAGGCUAUGUGUGCUAUGUUUGUGGAAUCCAUGAAGUACUGAAAAGAAGAUUCAAAAUAGCUCUCAGAAAUACUUGUUUUAAACCUCCUCCUUUCUCUUCUUCCCCUCCCAAUCUCACAAGUCCAGUCCAAACAGGUUGAUAAGACUCAUCUUGUGACACUGACCAGACUGUUCUUUGUCUUCAACAGUGUUGAGGCUGAAAAGUGUGUGUGUAUGUUCAGGGAUAAAAGUGGGUAUAUGGUUCACAUAGAAGAUCCACUCUCGGUGUGGUUGAGAGGCUAUAUUCCCACUGAGAGUCUUCCCAGAUCUCAGAGAAAAUUAGAGAAAAUAAAUAAAUCAGGAAGAAAGACAACAACACAAAAUAAAACACAAAAAACCACAGCUACCAGAUGCUGGUCCUAAACAAAAUCUCAUAGCAGGAAAGAAGGAUUCCCAAAGUGGCAACAAAUUUAUAAGGAUAAGUGUGUGAUGUUAAAAAAGUUUCCUGUUUAAAUUCUGUUUAUUCCAGUUGUGAAGGGGAAAUUCCAGCACUUUGAGAACUGUUGUCUGUUUUCAGAAUAAGCCUAAAUGCAGAGUUCAAAAGCAAUAAAAUUACCAAUAGUAACUACUUCAUGUCUGAUUCCUCCCAUGUCAAUUUUAUAUCCACUUUUUAGAAGGCUUAGCAUAUAGAAGCCCAAUAUCAUUGCAGUUAGGGCACAGAUUUUUGAUGUAGAUAAAUUUGGGUUCAAAAC